AUAAAUAUAUAUUUUAUAUUUAUGUGAAGAUUUCUAAAAGUACGUUUACAUACAAAAUCUCCACCCAGAUUAACCCGGAUAAUUGAGAAAUCACAAUAAAUUUUCCGUAUGUUUUCUAUAACUAACAGCCUGUUCCACGAUCUCGAAAGAAAAUUUGUGCGAACGAAGGCUACUCACUCACUUUCGUAUAAGAAUGCGUUCCACUAACUUUCGUUCUUUCUUUCGCAUAGCCUUACGUGAUUCAGUGUUGCUAAAUAUUUUUUUGUAAAAAUUAAUCGCGAAAUAAAGCAAAAAAAGCGUCAAAUGUCUAAUUUAAACGCGAAAAAGCAGCAGUGGUGCUGUCUCAACUGACAUUUCAGUUGUAAACAAACAAAUUGUAAAUAAACAAACAAAAUAAAAUUUCUAGUGAUUGUGUUCAAACUAUUUGUGCUCUUAGAAAAUAAAAAAAAGAAUAUUUCCGUAGCCCUAUUUUUUAUGGAGGAGGUUCGAAAUGUGCCACGGAGGCAUUUAAGAGAUGCUUCGAAUUUAUUUGAAGUACCUAACAACCAGUUUGUGGCCAACUUUCGUGUGUCGAAGGAAGUUUUCGGGCUCUUUUGGAUAUGAUGGAAGAGAAGUGGGUGCCCGGUUGCAGAACUACCCAAGUCCGCCCCGAUUUAAAACUUCUUCUGCUGCUUCCAAAAAUUGGCAUUCCUCUGGCGAACACAGGAUUCUCCUCCAUUUACUCAACUAGUGCCCGCAGCUGUGUAGUUGAUGAUUUUUUCGUGCUGGAAUUGAGAAAAUAAAAAAAAUAUAUAUUUGUUGUUCACAUAUUAAA